UACAGGGGGUGCAAACGUUGCUCGGAAUCAUUGGGCGUAAAGCGCACGUAGGCGGUCUGUUAUGUCGGAUGUGAAAGCCCUUGGCUCAACUGAGGAAGUGCAUCCGAAACUGGCAGGCUAGAGUACUAAAGAGGAUCGCGGAAUUCCCGGUGUAGAGGUGAAAUUCGUAGAUAUCUGGAGGAACACCGGUGGCGAAGGCGGCAUCCUGGACCAACACUGACGCUGAGGAGCGAAAGCCAGGGGAGCAAACGGG
rnacentral:rRNA from 1 species